GUGAUAUACUUGUGAUUUGCAGUACCAUCCUUUCUUACGAUGCUGGGUGGCAGCAACAGCUCCCAGUCAGCAAGCCAUUGAAAGGGGAAAUAACCAGUACUCUAUAAUAAAACACCAGUUUUUAAAUACAGAUAUUCAGUGACAUUAGAUGAUUUUUCCUAACCAUAGGCUAAUUUUGAUAUUCUACACAUGUUUAAGGUAGAGUAGGCUAACUUACAAUGUUCAGUACAUUUGGUGUAUUAAAUGCAAUUUCAACUUGUUUUCACCUUACAAUUAGUUAACUGGAAGAAAAACCCAUUGUAAGUCAUGGAGCAUCUGUAUUCAGUGUAGUGUUCAGUUAUAAAUUGGAAAACUAUUCAAGAAUUAAGUCACUCACUCCAAAUAUAGCAAAGCAGAACUUAAAAAAAAAAAAAACACCUGAGGUCCAUCUCUUCUUAUUUUGACUUGUCUCAAUUCUGCAUGUUUUACGUUUGACACAAUCCAAAACCAAAUUAGCAGAAAAGAAAAGCACCAAAAAGUAUAGCCAGUAUGUUACUGAGACUGAAUUUACAGCAUCUGUGACUUAUAAGUUUGUAUAACCCCAGGUGAAUCUGAAUGAGUCCUUUACUAAGAAACUGCAAAUUAGCCAGACACCAGUGAGCUCCAAAUCAUCCUUAAUACUCAAAGCCCACUUGCUGCUCAACCCCACAUUAAUUCAGGCUUCUAAACUAUUCUACUGCUCUCACAGGUUAGAUUUGAAACACUGUUUUUCUUGAGAACACUCCAAAGAAUAAAAAGGAUAUUGCUCACAUGUGUGUUUCUGAAACAACUUUAAGGGGAUUUCAGUGGACAGAAAUUUUCCAUUGUAUGUUUUUUUUUCUCUCAUUUGAAAGACACUGUGGCUUUUAACUAGCUUGGUGCUAUUACUAUAGUCAUUUUACCUGACCUCUUUCUUUAAACAGGCAUAAGACAGGAUGAGCUCAUGCUUUCAUGAAAGCCACUCUGCCACCUAAGCAAAACUAGCACUGUCAGAAGAGCAGGCAAAUUGUAAUUUUAAAAAAAUCCAUAAGCCAGCAGUUUCUUUUAACCACAGUGAUUUUUCUCCCUCCUGCUCAUUCUGCUGAUACAGCAGCAUUGUUGUGCACAGCAAAGCUAAAGCUCUCUGCUCUAAUUUGCUGUGCUUCUGAUGAGAAUUGUGCAUUUGAGGAUAUUGUUUCAUGUGUAAGUGUCACACAUGCAGCUGGAUUUUGUUUCUAAAGGCUCGGACUCCACUCCCUUUACCUCUCUCUUCUAUGGGAUCCACUAUGGUGUUCCAUUGUAGGUGCUUGAUUAUUUUGUUGAAAGAAUGCAUCUAUUGAUUAAAUAAGUGACUUUACAAAUAUUUCCAUUCUCUCAUUUUUAAAAUGAAACAGUGCAAACUGGAUGGGAUUCACUUCAGUGAUACAGGAGAAUCUGUAGUAAUGCAGAAAUGAAAACAUGAGAAUAGAAAAUAAAGAUGAGAAAAAUAUAAAAAAAUUAUUUAUAUAUUAUUACAAUAUAAUAAAGACGGGGUGUGGUUCAAGUGGUAGAUCACUUGACUAGCAUGCACAAGGCCCUGGAUUUAAUUCUCAGCACUGCAAAUAUUAAUAAAUAAAUCAAUACAAUAAGAAUAAAGAUAUGGUUCUGGGGUUGCAGUUCAGAGGUAGAGAGCUUUGCCUCACACAUGUGAGGCACUGGGUUCAAUCCUCAGCACCACAUAAAAAUAAAUAAAUGUAUCUAUUUAUAACUCAAAAAUAUUAAAAAAAAAAGAAAGAUGAGAGUAAGAACCGACAGAUUGAAUCAGGAGAUAAAUUCUAUAGUGAAG
rnacentral:lncRNA from 1 species